GGGGAUGUAGUUAAUUAUGACACUUGAUUUGCAUUCAAGAGGUGCUUUAGGGCCUUCCUCA
rnacentral:tRNA from 1 species